AUGAACGCUGGCGGCGUGCCUAAUACAUGCAAGUCGAGCGAACAGAUGAGGAGCUUGCUCCUCUGACGUUAGCGGCGGACGGGGUAGUAACACGUUGAUAACCUACCUAUAAGACUGGGAUAACUUCGGGAAACCGGAGCUACUACCGGAUAAUAUAUUGCACCGCAUGGUUCAAUAGUGAAAUAAGGUUUUGCUGUCACUUAUAGAUGGAUCCGCGCCGCAUUAGCUAGUUGGUCAGGUAACGGCUUACCAAGGCAACGAAGCGUAGCCGACCUGAGAGGGUGAUAGGCCACACUGGAAGUGGGACACGGUCCAGACUCCUACGGGAGGCAGCAGUAGGGAAUCUUCCGCAAUGGGCGAAAGCCUUGCGGAGCAACGCCGCGUGAGUGAUGAAGGUCUUCGGAUCGUAAAACUCUGUUAUUAGUGAAGAACAAAUGUGUAAGUAACUAUGCACGUCUUGACGGUACCUAAACAGAAAGCCACGGCUAACUACGUG
rnacentral:rRNA from 1 species